GCAAGAACAAUGUGUGCAAGAACAACAUGUUACUUCUAUUUUUAGUUUCGGGUUGCCUAGGGGGUUAGGGUAAGGGUUUUUUGGUAAUUUUCUUGAAGGUCUAGGGUUUAUCAUUAUGCACUACCUAAAAUAAUGAUAAUAGCUCUUUAAAAUCAAUAAUCAACAGAAAUAGCCAUAAAAUACUAAUUCAUGACUCGUUAAUAUUUCAUCAUCACAUCUACACAUCUAGAUAAUAAGUAGUGCAAGAAUAAUGUGUUACCUAGUGGGACAAGAGAGAGUGUAACUGUGAUGUUAAAUGCUGGGGAAUUGGGAAAUUAGCUCUAAUGUAACUGCGAUGUUGAAUGCUUGGG
rnacentral:misc_RNA from 1 species